rnacentral:rRNA from 1 species
UACGUAGGGGGCAAGCGUUGUCCGGAAUCAUUGGGCGUAAAGAGCGCGUAGGCGGCCCGAUAAGUCCGCUGUGAAAGUCAAGGGCUCAACCCUUGAAUGCCGGUGGAUACUGUCGGGCUAGAGUCCGGAAGAGGCGAGUGGAAUUCUUGGUGUAGCGGUGAAAUGCGCAGAUAUCAGGAGGAACACCGAUGGCGAAGGCAGCCCCCUGGGUCAAAACUGACGCUCAUGCACGAAAGCGUGGGGAGCAAACAGG